rnacentral:rRNA from 1 species
UACGGGGGGGCAAGCGUUGUUCGGAAUUACUGGGCGUAAAGGGCUCGUAGGCGGCCAACUAAGUCAUACGUGAAAUCCCUCGGCUUAACCGGGGAACUGCGUCUGAUACUGGAUGGCUUGAGAUUGGGAGAGGGAUGCGGAAUUCCAGGUGUAGCGGUGAAAUGCGUAGAUAUCUGGAGGAACACCGGUGGCGAAGGCGGCAUCCUGGGCCAAUACUGACGCUCAUGCACGAAAGCGUGGGGAGCAAACAGG